GACGAACGCUGGCGGCGUGCUUAACACAUGCAAGUCGAACGGAAAGGCCCUGCUUUUGUGGGGUGCUCGAGUGGCGAACGGGUGAGUAACACGUGAGUAACCUGCCCUUGACUUUGGGAUAACUUCAGGAAACUGGGCUUAUAACGGGAAGGAGGUUCUGGUGCCUGGUGGGGGGUGGGAAGUUUCGGGGGUUGGGGAUGGACUCGCGGCUUAUCAGCUUGUUGGUGGGGUAGUGGCUUACCAAGGCUUUGACGGGUAGCCGGCCUGAGAGGGUGACCGGCCACAUUGGGACUGAGAUACGGCCCAGACUCCUACGGGAGGCAGCAGUGGGGAAUAUUGCACAAUGGGCGGAAGCCUGAUGCAGCAACGCCGCGUGCGGGAUGACGGCCUUCGGGUUGUAAACCGCUUUCGCCUGUGACGAAGCGUGAGUGACGGUAAUGGGUAAAGAAGCACCGGCUAACUACGUG
rnacentral:rRNA from 1 species